GUACUGUUGAAGAAUUCCAAACUAGGACGAAACAGCUGUCCAGUAC
rfam:Trichobilharzia regenti genome assembly, scaffold: TRE_scaffold0019867